AAACCAACCGGGAUUGCCUUAGUAACGGCGAGUGAAGCGGCAAAAGCUCAAAUUUGAAAUCUGGUACCUUCGGUGCCCGAGUUGUAAUUUGUAGAAUUUAUUUUGGGGCUGUUCCUUAUCUAUGUUCCUUGGAACAGGACGUCAUAGAGGGUGAGAAUCCCGUAUGAUGAGGAGUGCAG
rnacentral:rRNA from 1 species